GGGGGUAUAGCUCAGUGGUAGAGCACAUGCUUAGCCAUACACAAGGUCCUGGGUUCAAUCCCUUGUACCUCCU
rnacentral:tRNA from 1 species